rfam:Coprinopsis cinerea okayama7#130 chromosome 3 cont3.3, whole genome shotgun sequence.
GGCCUGAUGGUCUAGUAGUAUGAUUCCUUGUUAGGGAGCUUUCGGCGCUUAUUCGGCGUUGAUUUGCGAAUUUCGAGGAGGUCCCGGGUUCAAUUCCCGGUCAGGCCC